rnacentral:rRNA from 1 species
GAUGAACGCUGGCGGCGUGCUUAACACAUGCCAGUCGAACGAUGAAGCCCAGCUUGCUGGGUGGAUUAGUGGCGAACGGGUGAGUAACACGUGAGUAACCUGCCCUUAACUCUGGGAUAAGCCUGGGAAACUGGGUCUAAUACCGGAUAGGAGCGUCCACCGCAUGGUGGGUGUUGGAAAGAUUUAUCGGUUUUGGAUGGACUCGCGGCCUAUCAGCUUGUUGGUGGGGUAAUGGCUCACCAAGGCGACGACGGGUAGCCGGCCUGAGAGGGUGACCGGCCACACUGGGACUGAGACACGGCCCAGACUCCUACGGGAGGCAGCAGUGGGGAAUAUUGCACAAUGGGCGCAAGCCUGAUGCAGCGACGCCGCGUGAGGGAUGACGGCCUUCGGGUUGUAAACCUCUUUCAGUAGGGAAGAAGCGAAAGUGACGGUACCUGCAGAAGAAGCACCGGCUAACUACGUG